CGCGUAGGUGGUUUGUUAAGUUGGAUGUGAAAGCCCCGGGCUCAACCUGGGAACUGCAUCCAAAACUGGCAAGCUAGAGUACGGUAGAGGGUGAUGGAAUUUCCUGUGUAGCGGUGAAAUGCGUAGAUAUAGGAAGGAACACCAGUGGCGAAGGCGACCACCUGGACUGAUACUGACACUGAGGUGCGAAAGCGUGGGGAGCAAACA
rnacentral:rRNA from 1 species